AGAAAAGUGAUGCUAAUUUCAAUGUUUACAAAUGUACACAGAGAAAAAUAUGGCUAAUAAAAAUAAAAAGAUUGUCUCUAUGAUCAGUUGCAGGGACCAAGAAGCGGACAGAAGUCAAAGACGAAGAUAUUUUCAUAGAGAUUUCUUCUUAUUUAUAUGUGGGAAAUCUUCUUAUUUUUAUUUAAAAGUUUAUCUGCUUAAAAUAAUGAGAAAACUUCUUGUUCGAUAAAUUCUGUCUAAAUGUAGGAGAAGGCGGUGAGAAGAGAAUGGAAGCGUACCGUUGCAAGUUCCAUUGAUUUCUUUUGACAUCUUUUUUUCCAUACUCUUGAAUUCAAAAAGUAACUGAAGUGUAUGAAAGAAAAUAGAAAACAAAAACGAAAUGUAAAUCACUAUAAGCAACAAUAACAUAAUGAUAUGUGUUGAGCACGCAACCAUAACAUACAUUAUACGCGUCGAAGUGCACGGGAUGUAGCCUUGCGUAUAUUAGUUAAAAAAAAAGAGCAAAUGCACAAACAAAAACAAACUAUUCACAAGCAUAAGCAUUUCAAUGUCGCCAAUCGUAACUGUAUUUCUAUCGGCUCGUGUUUUUGCAUGCUUAAGAUGAUGCAAUAAUUAUUGGGCAUCAGUCAGUAUUAACGUGAGUGUGGCCCGACGCGUGUCUUAUAAAAAUUGUGACAAGUUUGUAAAAUGGAUAUAUUCAGUUCGGAUGAAAAUAGUAACGCUCCUUGCACAUUAGAUGCAAUUGAAACGCUGCCCAUUUUUAAAUCAUGGGAGUUAAAUGAUGAUAUUUGCUCCAUUCUUGUGAACUACGGAGUGACAUCAACGAUAAUUUUAACAAAAAUGGAUUGGGAAGAUAUCGACUGUUUAUGUGAAAUAAACAAAUUUUUUGGCGAAUGCAUCAAGUUUAAAGCGGGAUUAAGAGAAUGGAGGAAGAACAUGGUAAGUGCAGCAUAAUUUAAUAACUUCUUUGGUGUACAUUUAUGCAAGCAUUUUUAGAAUAUACCGCUUGUACGUGAUGCAAGCUUCUUGUCUGCGAGUUUUGGAGUGGUUAGAGAAAAUUUAUGACGACUUAAAUGCAGCUAAAAGUUCAAGAGAUUCUUCACCAGUACUCCAGCCAACGUAUGAUAACUGCAUGGACAGUCGCAGCUUAACCGACCUUUUAAAAGGUACGGUUAAAGGGCAGCUUGUGCUUCACUUUCAGCAGAAAAAUGGUUUCUUGGACGCCAAGCAGCAGAAUACAUUGUGUCUCUGCAUAAUAGAGAAUUAUAUAGGAAGGCGGAAAAAACUGACAUAUGGAGAAAUGCAAAAGUGGGCCAACAUCAUCUGCGAUGUAUUCCCCAAAGAGAAUCCGGAAACAUAUUUUCUAGCAAGAAAAUAUGGUAAGAAAAAUCCUACGGGAAAGCUAUUUUCACGCUGGACGAAUGCUGACAAAACCAAUUAUAAAAAGUUUUCAACCGAUCGUACAACUACCGCUUCGCCAGCAGCUUUGUCCAGCGAUAAGUAUUACGAAAAGAAGUGCUGGCUACAGAAUAAUUGCACACCAUGGGAACAGGUUAUUGAUUACUGGAAGGAGACAUCUGGUCAAAGAAUUAUAGAUAUCCAUAACGCCAGUUCUUUAAGCUGCAUUUUUAGUGAAUGGCCGCGCUAUAAGGACUUUCGUGGAUAUGAACUUAAAUAGACUUUGAGACUCUUUACCCCGGGAAAGGAAAUAUGUUAUUUUUGAAAUUGGAGAAGUUUUAUAAAGAAAUCCUCAAAAUUUUUGAUAGAGAUAUAAAAGACCGUGUUUCAAGGGAACUAUUCUUAAAGUAUUUGCACAUUGACAACAUCUCAAAUGAAUGUAAAUAUUGUAUAAGUACAAUUCUUCUACAUGCUUUGCUACAGCCUUUGAGGCUUAAUAAGGACAAAAAACCAACAAUAGCUGAUGCCCAAACAGAUUUCGUAACACUCGUUGCAACACGUAAUGAUAUUCAACCCACAAUAACUGAAUUGAAGAAUAAGUUUGCGGUAAGAAAGGAGAAACUACAGCCGAGAAUUAUCGUCGUUGGAUCAGAUUGGUCAUCCAUUUCAGAGUUUUAUGUUUUUUGCGAUGGUCUGCAAUGGAAAUGUACUACGUAUAUGAAGUGCGUUGACUGCAUUAUUAAACUAUCGUACGUUUAUAAGAUAGAGUAUUCACAAAGAAGCAAGCAAGUAUGGGCAUUUUUAAAACAAUAUUUUUUUGAGUUGAAAUCCGAAGAAUUUUCUUCAGUGGCAAAUCUUUUGAGUAAAUGAAACUAAUUUCGUCUAAUUUUGGUAUAAUGCCCAAUUUUGCUUGUUUCAUUUGUCAAAAAGCUCACUUAAAUCCUAUAGAGCUGAUUAAACAUCUAAAGUCAGCACAUGGUACUCCACCAGUUUGUAAAUUUCAAUGUAACGAAUAUAAUUGCAAACAAAUUUUUUAUAACAUUCACAGAUUUCAAAUUCACCUCAAAAAACAUUUGAAAAUAGAAAUUCGCAAUAGCCAAUCUUGUAAAGAAAAUUCUCUUGCUCUUAAUAUUCCAAUUAAAACAACUAAUUCAUCAAAUCAACUAGUACCAAUUCAAAAUAUUACUUCUUUAAAAGAUUCAAUGAUCGCGUUUCUACUUCAACUGCAUUCCAAUACGAAUUUUUCUCGGAAAGACGUAUUCGAAAUUCAAAAUUCCGUAACAGAGUUAAUUUCAACCCCAAUAUGUGAAAUAUUAAGAGCCAUUAGUAAUUUUCAUGAAAAUAAUUCUGUAAUUGAGGAAGUAAUUAAGAUUAUAUCAGCCAUUUUAUGAUUUAACCACCAAAUACAAAUUUUUCAAAGAAAUAGAAAAACUAGACCUGGAUAAACAUCUGCAAAAAUACAUUGUUAGCGACGAACUCUCAGAAGUCAUACUUAAUAACAACCCAACUUUAACCUCAGAUAGAACCGAAAUAACCCUAUCAGACAUUCCUUUUCAAAUUAAAAAAUUUUUUGAGAGUAAAGGGAUUUUAGAGGCAACGCUUUUAAAUAUGAAAAACUUUUCAGAAAACCUUCCUUAUACUCAUUUCAUCAAUAGCAGCUUUUGGCAAAAUUCAAAGAAAAAUAAUGUAACGAUUCCAUUUUUUUUUUGUAUAUGGAUGACUUCGAAAUUAAUGAUCCUUUGGGCAGUAAAUCUGGCCAACAAAAAGUUUGCGGUAUAUAUUAUAACUCUCCAAGCGUACCUCAGCACCAACUUAGCAAAUUAUCAAAUAUAUUUGUAGCAGGGGUUGUUAAAGUUCGAGAUCUACAAGAUUGUGUUCUGAAUAUUUUAAAAACAUUGAAAAUUAAUGGCCUUCAAAUAAAUGUAGAUGGCAAAAGCUGUAUAAACAUUUUAAACUAAUCGCGUAAGCGGUGUCUACGCCAAUUAAGAAGAAGAAGAUUAUAUAAAUUCUAUUACAAAACCCAUACUAAUAAACCUAAGUUUCAGAAUUGUAAGAAAAAGUUUUUAUCAGUUUGUAGUUUGAUAAUUCAUUAAAUUUUUGUAUGUAUAGUAUUUAAACUAUAAUAAAAAAAAUAAUAAUGUGAAUUAUUUGUGAAAAGAUCCCAAAACCUUUCCCAUAUUUUAUUACUUACGAAAAGAAUCAUGUUAAGUUAUUUAAGUUAUUUUUUUACCCAACUUAUGUAAUAAAU
rnacentral:misc_RNA from 1 species